CCCCUGCCUCUUUCUGUGGCAUCCUGAAUGGUUUCCAUGGAAACAAAAGGUUGGGAUAGAAUGGUGCCAGUGCACAUGGAAACUUCAGAAUGAAAUGAGCGCUAUUGUUUUUGCCUGCUAUGGAGUCCCACUCAUUCUGACUCAGGACUCAGGAAUGUCUAUGCGGAAUUCCUUGACUUUCCACCAAAUUCCAGCCUGCCUGGCUAAUGAGGCAUAGAGCACCCUGGCCGCACCCCAGAUCUCACUGUCCCUCAUUCCUCAGGCUGUCUCUCGGUCUUGACAUGUGGUGUAAACAUCAACAGGUGAGGUGGGAUGUGUUGUAAUAAGCAGAUGGUCCCCACACGCCAGGCUGUGGGUGAGAUGGAAACUCUAGCAGGAGACAUCACAGCCGAAGACCUUGCCCGUCUGGACCCAUCAUCUGUCUUGUGCAUCAGAACCAUGGGAAAGAAGUGGAGAGGAGACCUGGGGCUCUGUGCUCGCCCUGGAGGCCCACGUUCACACCUGCUCCCUCCAGGCACCAAGGGCAUAGCUACCGACACGUGCAGGCCUCCCCAAGGUUUCCGUGGAUGGCAGAAGUACACCCUAAGCAAUCCUCUAACUGGUUCAACAACUGAGAUGUGCACCUGUGGAGGAGCCCAGGUAGGCACCCUCAGUCUCCAAAGUCCUCUGCCCUCUGCUUUACACGAGAGACCACCUGUCUGUCACUUCGUAGUGGGGUGUGUAUGUGUCAUCUUCUUAUCACCCCAACUGGAACAGUUUUCAGAGUGAAGAUAGCUACUGCCAGUUACACCAUGACAACAGGGACAAUGGGGGGACCCUGGGUAGCCCUGCCCCUAGGCCGUGGGCCUUGGGGCGGAGGUGCCCUGGGAGCCAUGCCCGGUUCUGCGGGUGGACAGUGGUGAUGGUAUACCGCAGUGGGAACGCCCCACGGCCACAGAGCUGCACACGUGAGAACCACAAAGGCUGUGGCUCCUUUUGCUGACCCCCUUGCGUUAACAGCUGCUCUGCUUUUCCACUUGCUGAAGCCCAAGGCCACUCCUCCCUGAGCCCACAUCACGGCACAUCAGCCAGUGUCCCGGGGUCCCCGUGGAACACAUCCAUCCAGUCUCCCCACAUCUCACAACCCGCUCCGUGCUCGUCUGUGGGUCAAUGGACACAGCCUGCCUGGGACGUGAGCCACCCCGUGCAGCGUAUCCGCGGUGUGAGUGACACCUGCCCAUUGGUCACCUGGGAGCCACUGCAGUGAGCAGAUCCGCUGUCCUGGAGCUGCAUUGCUUGUGUUCAGAUGACCCUUAUUCUUGAUAAUGGCCCCAAGCAAGCACGGUGAUGCUGGCGACUCAGAUAUGCCAAAGAGAAGCUGUACAGCACUUCCUAGCAAUGAAGACAGCCACAGGGAGAUCCCGCGACUCCCGCCGAGCCUGUCCUGGCUGUCGGACUGCGGCCUGAUGGGCUCCGAGUGGCUGACAAUGUGGCCACCACCAUGGCGGACGAGGGUGGGAGGCGCUUUCUGAGAGCAUCUGGCCUGCCACGCAGACACUUGUCACUCCGUGUCAUCUGGACACCCCGCGGUUCUAACCGAGGGUGGUGCUUUGACGGUGAUUAUCUCCAAAACAUAAAUAAUAAGAAUGAUUUUUAAAUCAACAAAGGGCUGGAUUUAAAGGCCACUUAGUUGUCCCAGGACUAAGAGUGAUGGUGAGUGGCCAGUUCCUGGGACGAUCUUCUGUAGCCCGAUUAACUGUGCUGGGAGCCCAAGAGAUAAUGUCUUUUCACAUAGAAAAGAUCCUAUUGAUUUCCUGUUCGUAUUAUCCCGAAAUGUGCAGUGUGUGUCUAUGUGGAGACCGUCUUCCAUCACUUGCUUUAUGGGAAGAGAAUGGUUAUUGUACCUCUCUCCAUAAAAUAUAAUCUCUUUUUCUCUUCCAAAAUCUACUCGCUCCUCUGGGAAUUUCCAGUCAUAAUCUGUGAAAGUGAAUUGAUUUUUUUAUUUUAUUUUUUUUUGCAUGUGCCAGUAUUUUUAUAUUUGGCUUCUCUAUAUUUUCUCAUUGUUCUCUGGAGUCUGGCUUUUCUAGAUUGUUAUUUGAGCUCAUCUAAAAAUAAAAAAAAAACAUCCGUCGCCUUGAAGCACACCCAGCCACUCACACAGUGGUGGCUGUCGGGUUCCCGUGACAUGCUUGGAUGGGGACACCCUCCUCCGUCCGCGGCUGGGGGCUGGUGUUCGUGAGUGCCUGGGAGGGCUCGGGAGGCAGCUAGAGUGGCCUCGCGCAUUCCAUCAAGACGCAAAAACCAAGUCGCUCAGUGAAGGGAGAGCGCUUCCUGCUGAUCUGGGUCUGAGCUUCAGGAUCAAUUCAGACACGAGGCAGAGUCCAGAACAGCUAACGAGUCUGGCUAGAAGACCCCAGCUAUGCGGGCCUGUCCGGACCCUCUGCAGACGUGGGCAAGCCACAGCUCCGGCGACCACGUCAGAUCUCGCGGUGCAGCCUCCGUCGCUUUGUUAGUGCGCCCCCAGUUCCCCAGUUCUCCUACCUGCACCCUACAUGUCCAAACCCCCCGCACGCCCCCUUCCACACUCAUGCCCUGCACACCAGUGUCUCUCUCCUCCUCACAGAUCAUGCCGUCCCAGCCAGCGAUGAAUUACAACUGCCUGGUACUACACUUGGCUUGCUGCAAGUGUGCAGUUUUUUCAAAAAUUCAUUUUCAUUUUAUUGGAAAGGCAAAGAGACAGAGAAAGACCUCCGUCCACUGGUUCACUCCACAAAUGCCCGCAACAGGGGCAGCUAGGGCCUGGACCUCCAUCCAGGUCUCCGACAUGGGUGGCAGGGGCCCAAGCACUUGGGCCGUUGCUGUUGUCCCAAGGGCACACAUUAGCAGGAAGCUAGAGGUGGAAGUGGAGGUGGGACUUGAACCUGGGCACUCUGAUAUGAGAUGUCGGCAACCCAGGUGGUAUCUUAACCACCGUGCCGAAUGCCUGCCCCAGGCGGGACAUUUCACAGACUGUCACAGAUCCGUGUCUCCACACCUGACCCUGCUCCCACCCCUCCAAUACUUGGCUUGCAACCGACUGGAUUUACUUUGUGUGAUUGCCAGAUGAUAUUUUAAAAAGAAAUGUAUGUAGGCUG